CGCUGUAGCUCAGUUGGUAGAGCACCUGAUUCGUAAUCAGUUGGUCGCCAGUUCGAUUCUGGCCUGCGG
rnacentral:tRNA from 1 species